UACGUAGGGCGCAAGCGUUGUCCGGAAUUAUUGGGCGUAAAGAGCUUGUAGGCGGCCAGUUGCGUCCGCUGUGAAAUCCCGGGGCUUAACCCCGGGCGUGCAGUGGAUACGGGCUGGCUGGAGGCAGGCAGGGGAGAACGGAAUUCCCGGUGUAGCGGUGAAAUGCGCAGAUAUCGGGAGGAACACCGGUGGCGAAGGCGGUUCUCUGGGCCUGUACUGACGCUGAGGAGCGAAAGCGUGGGGAGCGAACAGG
rnacentral:rRNA from 1 species